rnacentral:rRNA from 1 species
UACGUAGGGUGCAAGCGUUGUCCGGAAUUAUUGGGCGUAAAGAGCUCGUAGGCGGUCUGUCGCGUCGGCUGUGAAAUCCCGAGGCUCAACCUCGGGUCUGCAGUCGAUACGGGCAAACUAGAGUAUUGCAGGGGAGACUGGAAUUCCGGGUGUAGCGGUGAAAUGCGCAGAUAUCAGGAGGAACACCGGUGGCGAAGGCGGGUCUCUGGGCAAUAACUGACGCUGAGGAGCGAAAGCGUGGGGAGCGAACAGG